CCUACGGGAGGCUGCAGUGGGGGAUAUUGCACAAUGGGGGGAACCCUGAUGCAGCGACGCCGCGUGGGUGAAGAAGCGCCUCGGCGCGUAAAGCCCUGUCAGCAGGGAAGAAAAUGACGGUACCUGAAGAAGAAGCCCCGGCUAACUACGGGCCAGCAGCAGCGGGAAUACGUAGGGGGCAAGCGUCAUCCGGAUUUACUGGGUGUAAAGGGGGCGCAGACGGCGAUGCAAGCCAGGAGUGAAAGCCCGGGGCCCAACCCCGGGACUGCUCUUGGAACUGCGUGGCUGGAGUGCAGGAGGGGCAGGCGGAAUGCGUGGUGUAGCGGUGAAAUGCGUAGAUAUCAGGAGGAACACCGGUGGCGAAGGCGGCCUGCUGGACUGCAACUGACGUUGAGGCCCGAAAGCGUGGGGAGCAAACAGGAUUAGAUACCCCUGUAGUC
rnacentral:rRNA from 1 species